rnacentral:rRNA from 1 species
AUUGAACGCUGGCGGCAGGCUUAACACAUGCAAGUCGAGCGGAUGAAGGGAGCUUGCUCCUGGAUUCAGCGGCGGACGGGUGAGUAAUGCCUAGGAAUCUGCCUGGCAGUGGGGGAUAACGUCCGGAAACGGGCGCGAAUACCGCAUACGUAAUGAGGGAGAAAGCGGGGGAUCGUCAGACCAGACGCUAUGAGAUGAGCCUAGGUCGGAUUAUCUAGUUGGUGGGGUAAAGGCCUACCAAGGCGACGAUCCGUAACUGGUCUGAGAGGAUGAUCAGUCACACUGGAACUGAGACACGGUCCAGACUCCUACGGGAGGCAGCAGUGGGGAAUAUUAGGCAAUGGGCGAAAGCCUGAUCCAGCCAUGCCGCGUGUGUGAUGAAGGUCUUCGGAUUGUAAAGCACUUUUAGUUGGGAGGAACGGCAGUAAGUUAAUACCUUGCUGUUUUGACGUUACCAACAGAAUAAGCACCGGCUAACUUCGUG